rnacentral:lncRNA from 10 species
UCUCUUUCUCUCCCUUUCUCCCUCUCUCUCUCCCUCUUUAUCCCUCUCCCCCCUUAUCCCUCUCCCCCUUUCUCUCUUCUCUCUCUCUCUCUCUCUCUUUCUCUUCAAGGACAGAAAAAUAUCACCAACUUUAAUCCGGACUAAUCUGCCCAUGUGUCCGCCAGGUCUCUAGAAGAUGCCGUGGGAAGAGAGAGCAGUGUUUGUGUUUGUCUUUGUGUUGGAAGAGGCACCAUCUGUGUGUGGGGGAGCAAACAUGAACCAGGGAACCUGCCAAACUCUACACAGGGAGGGGAAGGUGUGGAGUAUGCCAUCCAGAACCCAAUAGCUCCUGCUUCGAGGCUGCCCAAUGGGCCCAGAGCUCCUGGAAGGGUGGCUGCUUGGGCUGGCUGUGUGCAUUCAUGCUGAAGCAUUGCCUUUUUCUCCUUGAGUGCCUGCCAUUCAGAACCACUGGGAUGCAGAGGACACACACACACACCGGUGUUUCCAGCUGUGCCAGAGCCUGGAGCGUGUGAGCUC